rnacentral:rRNA from 1 species
GACAGAGGUGCCGAGCGUUAGGCGGAAUCACUGGGCUUAAAGCGUGUGUAGGCGGAUCGUUAAGUGCCUUGUGAAAUCCCACGGCUUAACUGUGGAACGGCUGGGCAUACUGGCGGUCUUGAGCCAUCUAGGGGCGACUGGAACAAACGGUGGAGCGGUGAAAUGCGUAGAUAUCGUUUGGAACGCCAAUGGUGAAAACAGGUCGCUGGGGAUGCGCUGACGCUGAGACACGAAAGCCAGGGGAGCAAACGGG